rnacentral:rRNA from 1 species
AUUGAACGCUGGCGGCAUGCCUUACACAUGCAAGUCGAACGGUAACAGGUCUUCGGAUGCUGACGAGUGGCGAACGGGUGAGUAAUACAUCGGAACGUGCCCGAGAGUGGGGGAUAACGAGGCGAAAGCUUUGCUAAUACCGCAUACGAUCUCAGGAUGAAAGCAGGGGACCGCAAGGCCUUGCGCUCACGGAGCGGCCGAUGGCAGAUUAGGUAGUUGGUGGGAUAAAAGCUUACCAAGCCGACGAUCUGUAGCUGGUCGGAGAGGACGACCAGCCACAAUGGGCCUGAGACACGGCCCAGACUCCUACGGGAGGCAGCAGUGGGGAAUUUUGGACAAUGGGCGCAAGCCUGAUCCAGCCAUGCCGCGUGCAGGAUGAAGGCCUUCGGGUUGUAAACUGCUUUUGUACGGAACGAAAAGACUCUGGUUAAUACCUGGGGUCCAUGACGGUACCGUAAGAAUAAGCACCGGCUAACUACGUGCCAGCCGCCGCUGUAAAAC